UUGUCUCAAAGACUAAGCCAUGCAUGUCUCAGUACACAUCAUCUUACGAUGAAACCGCGAAUGGCUCAUUAAAUCAGCUAUGGUUCCUUGGAUCGUGUAACUUACAUGGAUAACUGUGGGAAUUCUAGAGCUAAUACAUGCACCAAAGCCAUGACCGCAAGGGAAUGGCGCAUUUAUUAGAUCAAAACCAACCGGGCCUCGGCCUGCGUUGUUGAUGACUCUGGAUAAACUUGAGCUGAUCGCAUGGCCAUGAGCCGGCGACGUAUCUUUCAAAUGUCUGCCCUAUCAACUUACGUUGGUAGGUUACCUGCCUACCAUGGUGAUAACGGGUAACGGGGAAUCAGGGUUCGAUUCCGGAGAGGGAGCAUGAGAAACGGCUACCAGAACUACGGUUUGCAGCAGGCGCGCAAAUUACCCACUCCCGGCACGGGGAGGUAGUGACGAAAAAUAACAAUACGGGUCUUUUUAUAGGCCCCGUAAUUGGAAUGAGUACACCUUAAAACCAUUAACGAGUACCAAUUGGAGGGCAAGUCUGGUGCCAGCAGCCGCGGUAAUUCCAGCUCCAAUAGCGUAUAUUAAAGUUGUUGCAGUUAAAAAGCUCGUAGUUGGAUCUGAGGAUUAGAGCCACAGGUUGGCCGCAUGGCUACACUUGUGGCUCAGCCUGCAUAGUCGGUGAUUGCUUUGGUGCUCUUAAUUGAGUGCCUUAACUGCCCGGCCACGUUUACUUUGAAAAAAUUGGAGUGCUCAAAUCAGGCCCACUGCCUGAACAGAUGUGCAUGGAAUAAUGGAAAAGGACUUCGGUUCUAUUUUGUUGGUUUUCGGAACAUGAAGUAAUGAUUAAGCGGGACAGCCGGGGGCAUUCGUAUUGCGGUGGGAGAGGUGAAAUUCUUGGAUCAUCGCAAGACGCCCUACAGCGAAAGCAUUUGCCAAGAAUGUUUCCAUUAAUCAAGAACGAAAGUCAGAGGUUCGAAGACGAUCAGAUACCGUCCUAGUUCUGACCAUAAACGAUGCCAACUGGCAAUCCGUUGCGAUUGCAAGUUCGAUCCAACGGGCAGCCUCCGGGAAACCAAAGUCU
rnacentral:rRNA from 1 species